AGAGUUUGAUCCUGGCUCAGAUUGAACGCUGGCGGUAUGCUUAACACAUGCAAGUCGAACGGAAACGAAACUAGCUUGCUAGUAGGCGUCGAGUGGCGGACGGGUGAGUAACGCGUAGGAAUCUGCCUGAUAGUGGGGGAUAGCCCGAAGAAAUUCGGAUUAAUACCGCAUAAUCUAUUCGUAGUAAAGUGGGGGACUUUCGAGCCUCACGCUAUCAGAUGAGCCUGCGUAAGAUUAGCUUGUUGGUAGGGUAAAAGCCUACCAAGGCAACGAUCUUUAGCUGGUCUGAGAGGAUGAUCAGCCACAUCGGGACUGAGACACGGCCCGAACUCCUACGGGAGGCAGCAGUGGGGAAUAUUGGACAAUGGGGGCAACCCUGAUCCAGCAAUACCGCGUGUGUGAAGAAGGCCUGAGGGUUGUAAAGCACUUUCAAUUGUGAAGAAAAGUUAACGGUUAAUAACCGUUGACCUUGACGUUAACUUUAGAAGAAGCACCGGCUAACUCCGUGCCAGCAGCCGCGGUAAUACGGAGGGUGCAAGCGUUAAUCGGAAUUACUGGGCGUAAAGCGUGCGUAGGCGGUUUAUUAAGUCAGAUGUGAAAGCCCCGGGCUUAACCUGGGAACUGCAUUUGAAACUGGUCAACUAGAGUAUGGUAGAGGAAAGUGGAAUUUCUGGUGUAGCGGUGAAAUGCGUAGAUAUCAGAAGGAACAUCAAUGGCGAAGGCAGCUUUCUGGACCAAUACUGACGCUGAGGUACGAAAGCGUGGGUAGCAAACAGGAUUAGAUACCCUGGUAGUCCACGCCGUAAACGAUGAUAACUAGCCGUUGGGGGGAUUUACCCCUUAGUGGCGAAGCUAACGCGUUAAGUUAUCCGCCUGGGGAGUACGGCCGCAAGGCUAAAACUCAAAGGAAUUGACGGGGACCCGCACAAGCGGUGGAGCAUGUGGUUUAAUUCGAUGCAACGCGAAGAACCUUACCUGGUCUUGACAUCCUGCGAACUUUCUAGAAAUAGAUUGGUGCCUUCGGGAACGCAGUGACAGGUGCUGCAUGGCUGUCGUCAGCUCGUGUCGUGAGAUGUUGGGUUAAGUCCCGUAACGAGCGCAACCCCUAUCCUUAUUUGCCAGCACAUUAUGGUGGGAACUAUAAGGAGACUGCCGGUGAUAAACCGGAGGAAGGCGGGGACGACGUCAAGUCAUCAUGGCCCUUACGACCAGGGCUACACACGUGCUACAAUGGGAAGGACAAAGAGCCGCGAAGCCGCGAGGUGUAGCUAAUCUCAUAAAUCUUUUCGUAGUCCGGAUUGGAGUCUGCAACUCGACUCCAUGAAGUCGGAAUCGCUAGUAAUCGUAGAUCAGAAUGCUACGGUGAAUACGUUCCCGGGUCUUGUACACACCGCCCGUCACGCCAUGGAAGUCAGUAGUACCCAAAUCGGGUGGCCCAACCUUCGGGAGGGAGCUCGUUAAGGUAAGACUGGUAACUGGGGCGAAGUCGUAACAAGGUAACC
rnacentral:rRNA from 1 species